AGCAGAGAGAAAUCCUAUCUGUUGGGACAUGCUGUGCUCAGGACUGCAGGAAGAUCUCUGAGGCAGGGGAGGAGAGUGAUCAGGAAACAGAGAGUGGCCCAGAUGGUGUCAGCAAGCCCAGGAUGCAGACCCCAGGCAGGGCCUGGACCACUUUUCACAGAAGGCUCCAUUCAAAACGGGGUCUCCCUUAUUUCUUUAAUCAGAUACAGGAAAGAACUCAGGCAGGUGCUGAACUACCCAUCCUUCGCAUCAUCUCCAGCCUCACCCGUGAAAACUUGAAGCUAUGCUCAGAAGUGGGAGACCAUUUGGCGAUCUUUUCGGUAAAUACAGCAAAAGGGAGAAAAAAGAACAAUACCUAAUGGAUCCAACUCCUGCGUCCAAGCAGACAGUUUAACCCCUGGGUCAUCGUGCUUGUAUUUCACUUAUUGGAUUGUUAAUAGAUUUUCUUCAUUUGUGUGAGACGUUGCGAAUGAUGUGCGGAGGCCGCCGCUUCCUCCGGCGCUGGGACUCGAGGUCCACCUGUAAGGAGAUGGCGUUAAAAGCUGCUGGAGUUGCUGCCUCCUGACAACAUCCCAGCUGUAGACUCGCAAUCGCAAUCCUCGGGUGGCAGUUUUAAUUAUCGGCACCGCGAUACCAUCAGCAAGUGUGUAAUUACGUGUCAGUUUCCUGGCUGUUGGGUAUGAAAAGUGGAUCCAGUGAAAUGAUGAUUGUGGAAGCUGUAGACUCAUAUUUAAACAAUUCAAAAUGUGUAACUGGCAGUGUCAUUAAACAGAGAGAGCCUGACCCCAGCUGUCACUUACUUUCCCUUAUGCAGAUUUGUUCGUGCUGUCUGUCAAAAGAACUCCAUGGGCUGAAAUGGGACAGAGGGAGGUGACAUAAUUCUCCGAGCAAAGAGGGCUGCUCUCCUUAACCCCACAGAGGCGUUCUUUUAGCCUAAACAAAUACGACUGCUGAAAUUGUAAAUAAACCAAGACCAUUACGGGAAAUUAUAUAGACUUUUGCCGAUGAAUACACAAAGGCAGAAUAUCAAACAGACAUCCCUUCUUAAAAAAUGUGAAUAAAACCUGCCCGAUUGUCAUGCACUUAAAGAAGAAGUACUGUGGUAAUUGGGAGGGUUGAUGUUUGAAGCAGAAAAUUAAAUGACCCUUUUAGUUUGAGAUCAAAAUGGUGGGUGCAAGAUGAAGAAAAGGGGGGGCUUAUUUUGAAAACUGCUCUGUAUCAACAGUGAGAAACAUGAAUGGAUAAAAAAAAUUACACAGAUUUAAAUAAACUUCAGUAUGGCUUAGG
rnacentral:lncRNA from 1 species